GGAGCCCCAGCCCUGGUGUUCUCAGGUGUUCCAUUCACUGAUAAGGACAGAACACAGAAAACUCACUAUGGAGCUUGUGCUCAGCUGGGUUUUCCUUGUUGCAGUUUUAAAAGGUGCCCAGUGUGAGAUGCAGUUGGUGGAGUCUGGGGGAGAUCUGGUGAAGCCUGGGGGGUCCCUGAGACUCUCCUGUGCAGCCUCUGGUUUCUCCUUCAGUGGCUAUGGAAUGAGCUGGGUCCGCCAGGCACCGGGGAAGGGGCUAGAGUUGGUCUCAAAUAUUGAUGCUGGUGGAGGUAGCACAAGCUACACAGACUCUGUGAAGGGCCGAUUCACCAUCUCCAGAGACAAUGCAAAGAACACGCUGUAUCUGCAGAUGAACAGCCUAAGAACUGAGGACACGGCUGUGUAUUUCUGUGCAAAAGGCACUGUGAAGGGACUCCAAUAGUCAGUUACA